AGAUUGAUGUAGAAAUUUUUAUGAAAUCAAAACCUAUACUAAGUAAGAAACGGAUGGAUCGUCGAUCGAACCAAAGGCUAAGUUCUUGCGUUAGCCAUUAAUCGGCCAUUUUUUAGUCGGCCUGCCAACCCGACCUAGCUAACCUGAAAACUAUUAAAAGGACUGGGUAUAGUUACGUAGAUCGUAGCGGUGGAUGGAAGUUAAUCGGUGUGGCAGUGGAUGGAAGGGUGGCGGGGAGUGUAAAGAGGGGCAGCAAGGGGUAAGAAGGAACCAGCGGUCGAGGGAGAGAGGUGGAGCAGUCCGGUGGGGAGGGGAAGCAGGGGUGGCGGUCGUUCUCCAAGCGUUGGGGAAGAGAAGGGGCGCAAAAGUAGCUUAGGCCAGCGGGUUCACCGGCUCCUCCAGGGGGUCGACCGGUCGAGCCGUACGAGCGCUCGUAGGAUCGCAAUCCGAGGCAGCCUACGCGCGCUGAAGGGGCGGGGACGAGAAGGGGCAGGAAGAAACUUAGGCAAGCGGCUUCACGGGUUCCUCCGCGAGCUCGAGUCGCGUGAGUGCCCGCUGGGUCGCGCUCCGCCCGCGGCUCCGGGCGUUGUUCGGUUGUUCCUCGCCCGCACCCACGCGUUGUUAUAGACCCGUGUCAAGCUACGGAGGUGACGACUCGGCACCUCUACACGUCCUCGGUCACUCUAUGCCGGUGGAGGCUCGGUCAAGUGGUCGGAGGCGCUUCUACACAUCCUCGGUCACACGGAGACACACUACACGAUAAGUUCUAUGGAGAUGUAUAAAGGGGGAAGAAUUACUUUUCCGUCGCGAGGACAGCCAAGGAGUUUUUUUAACACAAUAAGUCCUAUGUUACCGUGAGCUAUUACGAACGAUUCUUCUAUUUAAACGAACGUCCCGAGAACUACUAUAUAGGUGAAAGUAGUUUACGAAUUCCCAUACCAGUGAACCUCUUCUGUAUCGAUACUGAUCUUUCUAGACAAAAAAGUCCAUACGCAGCAUGUUCUACCUAAAUAAGAACUGGCUAACCUUCGUAUGGCGUUGUGCCGCAUGUGUUCCCGAUCGGAUUCGUACGUCUAUGUCUUCCAAAUCAAGUCACCGACACGACCUGUCCUCCCCGGUCCCUUAACGAAAUUCAACAAGGUUCUCUACACUCGGACUAUUUUGCUACUGUAUCGUCUAAAGGUGACACCAGAGGAACGUCCUGGUGAGAGUCACCAACCGGGAGGACAAGUGAAUGUGUUUUUGUCUUCCGUCUUCUACUAUAACCGGGAUGACAACUCGGCGUUUGUAUCUUACAACGAAACCGUCCAGUUUCCUUCUUCGUCCAGCUUCCUUCUUCAAAUCUGAUUUCUGUACCAGUUUCCUUCUUCGUCCAGCUUCCUUCUUCAAAUCUGAUUUCACCUCUCUUCUUAAAAUGUCGACGCACAUAGGCCGACCGACGCUGCCCGUCCCGCCCGACAUGGUCACCCCUAGAGGGCAUCCCUACGGUGCGACGCUCCCGUCCUAGGACCCGCAAGGGACCGCAGCGACGGGACCGCUGGAACGACCUUCAAGACACCGCAGCGACGGGACCGCUGGAGCCCCUUCCUUCGCUGCGACGAGCGCCUGCCAGAGGUGCAACCAGCCGUUGUUACCACUACUGUAACCGCUACCACGCUGCCACGCUACAGCUUAAUUAAAACAAAGGAAUAAAAUGGUCCUCUAGUCGCACCACACUACUGCUUAAUUACAACAAAGGAAUAAAUGGACCUCAUGCCGCACUAACAUCCCCCACCUACCCCCCACGACCUCCACCUCGUGCCAGUCAGUUCCCAUAAAGCAUUCAGGUGUGGCAUGUCCGUCGUUUACUUACUACCGACAAUCUAAAUCUACACGCCCAUAUUAACACACCACAACUAACAAGGCACGCAAAACACACUGUUCAACGGCCCACAUGAAUCGCUUCAAGAACAAACGAACAAAUAAUCAUCAUCUCUACACUAUUAAAUCAGGGUUUGAACGUUUUACAUUGAAGUAGUAUGAGGUUGAACGUGACGUACACUGCAAAAUUAGGGUCCAGUUAGUAUCGAGCUGUUUACCGUCGGUCCACCGACCGGGCCAGUCGCGUGUGUGAAAACGUCUUUGGGGGGACGACAAAAGAAAUUAGUUGGGCGUGAGUGGAGGUGCAGCAACGAGGGGACGACCCGGGGCGGCGGCAGCCGGCGACGACGGCUCCUCGGGCUCUACCGGCGGACCAGCCGGCUGGAGAGCAGCCGCGAGAUGUUCCUUUACCGCGUACACCACGAGACGGAGGAUUCACAGUACAAGCAGCAGCCCUACCGCCUGAAGUCGGCAGAGGGGCCGACGCCUUCUGGUUGCUCCUACCUGGAGGUCCUCGAGCGCCAGGUCCACGCAAUGUGGGAGCAGGAGUCGCGGAGGCGCCGGCGACCCCAUGAGAGGACCGAGCCGUUCCGCCGGCUGCUGGACUCGCGGCGACCCACCCUGACCCUCUACGCGCGGUACAAGUAGCAGCCGGAGUUGGAGUGGAAUUGGAGCUGCAAGUAACGGGAGAGGCGGGACCAGAACCUCGAGAGCACGCUGUAGCAGCAGUUGAUGUAGUAGCGCCGCCGCGAGCAGCCACGUAGAGCAACGGCGGACCCAACAGGCAUC
rnacentral:rRNA from 1 species